UACGUAGGGUGCAAGCGUUGUCCGGAAUUAUUGGGCGUAAAGGGCUCGUAGGCGGUUCAUCGCGUCGGGAGUGAAAAGCUGGGGCUCAACCCCAGUCCUGCUUUCGAUACGGGUGGACUAGAGGUAUGCAGGGGAGAACGGAAUUCCUGGUGUAGCGGUGAAAUGCGCAGAUAUCAGGAGGAACACCGGUGGCGAAGGCGGUUCUCUGGGCAUUACCUGACGCUGAGGAGCGAAAGCGUGGGGAGCAAACAGG
rnacentral:rRNA from 1 species